ACUACGCGUGCGUCGCCCCGCCUCCCGGACAGUCCUUGCGCAGGCGCGAGUCUCACUGGGCUAGGCCCGCCUCCGGGCCCGCCCCACCCUCGCGCCAGCCGUUCCCAGGCUCCGCCCUGAUCCACUGACCUUGCAUCUUUGCCCCCUGACUCAGGUCUUUUCUGGUAUGAACCUUUCACUCCAGUCUCUUGGCCGACCAACUCAAAAUGGCCCUCUGGAUUCAAAUGUGCUGCUUGACCACGACCAAACCUGUCAGCUCCUGCUCCAGACUACUAGGAGUGAUCUGAAGCAACCAUGACUUUGUUUUGGCCUGUCUGUGGCUAUGCCUCAGCCAGGCAUACUGAAUCUGAGCAGAGAUUGCGAUAAAACGCUGAGAGCUGAGAAAAGGAGCUAUCUUAUGAGGGUGUGGAUCUCAAUCCCAUUCCAUAAAUCAUCUCUCCAAGUCAUUGAGAGUUACCGUGCAAGCCUGCAGUAUCUGGCUAUCUAUUAUAAGCGUUGAAAGUGAUUAUUUAUCUGACCCUAGACUGCCUGUUCCCCUCACUAGCCCCAACAGCUCAAAUGAAAUUAAUAACAUUGAAAGAGAACUUGGAAAGGCACCACCUCUCCUCCAGACCACUAACAUAAUUACGCUGUGAUAGGGGAGGAGACACUUGUGCCCCUCCCUUAGUCCAUCAGACUGUUGGAACAUUAUACUCCAAAUAAUUUAAGAAAAUAGAUAAUUCAUCCUGGAGAAAUGAAAACAAUACCGAAGGCCUAGCGCCGUCCGGAGAAGGAGCUUGCCUCUCAGGAAUUGCAGCUCUGAGGUCUCAGAUCACUUCGCGAGAUAGCCUUGAGUGAGCUGAAACAACGCUAGGUCAGCAAUACCGCACCGUAACCUAGCGGAGUAUUCAAUUUACCACUAUUUCUAGCUCUCUAUUUAAACUUAAACUUCUUGUCAGUACUCCUGAAGGCGGACUUGGUGGUAACUGGACCCCUUUUCUUCCUCCAAUUCCCUAUGUGGCCAUAUUGAAUAGCUCUCUUUUUUAUACGUUCCAUUAUUACUUGUCUCUUUAAUUGGCCAAUAGAAUAAUGAUAGGGAGACUUAAUUUUGUGGGUGAUAAAAUGUUGGAAAAGACUAGGGUUACAUGUAGUACAUUUCUUUGUAGAUUAAGUAAAUCAUUAGGAGAGCAAAGCCUCAGACCUCUGAAAUACAGGCUCCAGCACAACACUCAUGAAUUUAUGCUAUGCUUUGAACUUUAUGCUACAAUCAAAGAUCAGUUGAGAGAUGGGGAAAAAGGGGCUCUUCACAGAUUGUCCUUGGGAGCUACGCAAGAUGCAACAGGUCCAAUCCGCUUUAUAAAGACUCUGGGAGGGGGGAGGAUGAUCUUUCAGUUCCCCAAACCAAGAUGAGCUUUGCUUUUCUGAACCACUUGGCUGUUGUCUUGUGACUCCCGGAAUAUUUGAGGCACCAGAAGCAUGCCUGAUUUCCACAGAGGCCAGAAGCAGGCACAGAUCCCCUGGAGUUAGAGGUGUUUGUGGCUGCCAUGUUGGUGCUGGGAAGAAAACCAAGGUGCUCUGUAAGAGCAGCCAUCUUUAUGGCUGAGCCAUCUCUCCAGCCCAGUUGACCAAGACCUUUAAGAGACUGACAGCACUAAACAUAUAAAGACUGUGGAGUAACCAGAAGGCUCCCGUAUUACUGAUGGUAUGUGGGAGGGAGCAAAUGGUUAAGGAUUGGAUUGCACUGUGACAGUUUCCGAUAAAGUUAAACAGACCUCUGCCUAUGACCCCACAACUCCAUUUUCAGAUACUUAAUCAAGAAAAAUGAAAAUAUAUAUCCACAAAGUGACUUAGACAAGAUUGUUUAUACUGACCCAAACUGGAAGUAAUUUUGUAUGCAUGAAUAGUUGCUGUGUGACUACCUAAGAAAACCUACUUUAAAAAAGGGGGGGGGGGAUUUUUUUUAACUUACUUUUUAGUGUCAGUCCAUGCUUACUUGCCCCUGUUGCUUCAAGCCUGUCAUGAGGCACAGCACAUCCAUCGAGCACCUGGCAGGGCCUGAAGAGGGAGCAUUUUUGGCUGCAUUCAGAGCCUGGAAGGGAGCAUCCACUUCAAGAGCACAGACCCAUUGACAGAAUAACCAACAGCAACUAAGCCUUUAUUUAGCACCAGAAUUUGGGAGGAACACCUAAGAUUCAAACCUUAACAACAGGUAAAUGAAUGAAGAGCUCAAGGUAUAUUAGUAAAAUAAUACUGAAUUAGUAUUUAAAAGGGAUGAGUUUCUGAUACACGCCAAGGAAGCCAAACACGAGACUACCUACUGCCCAGUUUUGCCCAUAAAAUUCUACAGCAGAAAAGCCCUCAUUUCUGAUGACCGCGACUGCAGCAGUGGAAGCCACAAGAAAUUACAAGGCCCAUCAUUCCGUCUGUGACGGCAGUUGACUUGUGCCUGGCCAUUAGAAUUCUGUUCCACUGAUUUCUCUAAACAUACAUUGCCAGCCUGCUUUUCACGCAGAAGAAUACAGGCUAUUAUCUUGUACAGCAGCUCCGUAGCUUCUACUGUUCCCUCUCCCACGGAUUUCUCUGACUUUCUUUUUAACUUGAUUUGAAUAUAUUUCACCCAGGGAGUGGCACUAAUAGGAGGUGUGGCCUUAUUGGAGUAGCUGUGGCCUUGUUGGAGGAAGUGUGUCACUGUGGGCGUGGCCUUUAAGACCCUCCUCCUAGCUGCCUGGAAACCUGUCUUCGCCUAGAGGCCUUCAAAUGAAAAUGGGGAUCUCUCAGCUCCUUCUGUACCAGGCCUGCCUGGACACUGCCACACUUCCCACCAUGAUGACAAUUGACUGCACCGCAGAACCUGUAAGCCAGCCCGAUUAAAUGGUGUCUUUUAUAAUAGUUACCUUUGUCAUGGUAUCUCUUCACACCAAUGGAAACCCCUAACUAUGUGGCUUUGAUUGGCCUGGAAAUCGAUAUGUAGAUAGACCAGGCUGGCUAAACUCACAGAGAUCCCACUGCCUCUGCGUCUUGAGUAUAGGAUUGAAGGUGUCUACCAACAGGACCAGCGUUUCCUGAUUGUUCUUGCUUAAAUGUUCAUCCAAAUAAAUUUUAUAAUAAACUUGUCUAGUUUCAAGGUGAAUAUCAUGUGCUAUUUACAUUUUUAAGAAUGGCUUUGCUUUUAUAAACUAGAUCUACGUCUCCUCAUAUAAAACCUGAUCUUUAAGAUUGAAUCUUUCUAUUCAUCAAUGUGGUAUGCCUUUCUGAAAAACUUUUUCAACUCUUCUUUAAUGAUAUCAUAACUACUAUAUACUUUCUAUAUUUUCAGUUUUAUGUUUAAUAGUGUGUGUAGUUCUUGUCCUUUAUGUCUCUAUUUGCUCCUAGUGAGAGGCCAUCGGGUUUUAAUAUGUUCUUUUUUUCCCUCAAAACGAUGUCUAUGUAACCCUGUCUGUCAUGAAACUAAGCAAGUAGACAAGUCUGUAUUCAAAUUCAUAGAGCUCUUUCUACCUCUGCCUCCCAGCUGCUGGGAUGAAAGGCUUCCUGCACUCUAGAGAAGUGCAUAGAACACUGAAGACAGAGACCCAGACAAAGAGACCUGAGAGGAGCAAGAAACCUCCGGAAGAAAAGUGUUCCUACCACUUCUCUCCUCCAGAAACAACCAGAAAUCAUGUUCAGAGAAGUGAGAGAGAAAAUCAUGCUGCAGAAACAAGAAUACACAUGUUGCUUUCUUUUCUUCUUCUUCUUCUUCUUCUUCUUCUUCUUCUUCUUCUUCUUCUUCUUCUUCUUCUUCUUCUUCUUUUUUCUUAAAGAAAGGAAAACUCUUAUAGGGUAAGAGAGCCCUUGGAAAUGAAGGACAUGCAAACUCAGUAGAAAAAAUGAGGAGAACAUUUGAAAAAGAUCUGCAAAUAGGAACAAACAGUAAAAGACAGAGAAUAAAGGGGAAGGAAGGCCCGUUUAAUUAGACCCUAAAGCUUGCCAAAGUCUUUGAGUACUUAGAGAUAAACUCCUUAGUGGGGGAUGGGGUGCUCAUGAGGAUGCAGACUUAAUGUGGUUAGGAUUCCAAGAAGUUCUCCUCAGAGUUUAGGCAGGUAGGACAGCUAGCUGCUCAGUCUGCUCUAGUGAGCUGCCAGUGAUAAUCUCCUCGAUACUCGCCCCCAGUAGAGCCAUCCUAACUUUCAGACCUAGUCCAGGCACAGGGAGGACCUCUUAAGGAUGGCCCAGACCCUCAUCUUGUCUCCUACUCUUAGACAGUUCUUAGCACUCUGGUCCUAAACCUUCCUGAUAUUGCAAAUAGCUUGUUUCUCUUCUUUCUGUGGUUUUUAAAGACCUUUCAGGCAAAGCUCAAAAAGUAUUUACACCUACAAACAAAACAGAAGUGUCUUUAAAGCUAAAGAAGCACCCUCCACACCCCUACCACACCCACACCCAAUGCUUAGAAACACAGUGAUCAAGGUCUCCUAGCAGGGAGAAAGAAAAUAAAACUGCCUUUGCUGCUUCCAAUGAAUGACCCUCUGUUACUAAGAAGGGAGAGAAGGCUACUUGCUAAAGCUGCAUAAA